AAUUAAUAUUUUUCUUUUAUUUCUUUCUUUUUUUUUUUUAGAAACAGGGUCUCACUCUGUCACCCAAACUGGAGUACAGUGAGCCGUGAUCGUGCAGUGGCGAAAUCACGGCUCACUGCAGCCUUGACCUCUGGGAUCAAGCAGUCCUCCCACCUCAGCCUCCAAAGUAGCAGAGACCACAGGUGCAUGCCAUCAUACCCAGCUAAAUUUUUAAUUUUUCUGUAGCAAUGGGGUCUCAUCACAUUGUCCAGGCUGGUCUCAAACUCCUGGGCUGAAGCCAUCCUCCCACCUUGGCUUCCCAAAAUGUUGAGAUUGCAGGCAUGAACCACCAUGCCAAGCUAAUAUUUUGUUAUACUUUUUAUUUAUUGGUCUUCAGAGGUAGAUCAAUGCAAGUAUUUUUUGAGAAGGUCCUGAAAUUUCAUGUGUCUGUUAUUGGCCAAAAAUAUCCCACCUCAGCUGGUAGAAGGGUAGAGGGUCUUCAUUUACAACAACAGACCUGCUUGGCUGUCUGAUUUGGUGUUUGUUGGUGCUUGGUGUGCUUGCUUGUUGGUGUGUGCUGGUGCUUGGUGGGUGCUAGUGCUUGGUGGGUGCUUGUACUUGGUGCUUGUUGGUGUGUGCUGGUGCUUGGUGGGUGCUGCUGCUUGGUGGGUGCUUGUAAUUGGUGCUUGUUGAUGUGUGCUGGUGCUUGGUGGGUGCUAGUGCUUGUUGGGUGCUUGUACUUGGUGCUUGUUGGUGCGUGCUGGUGCUUGGUGGGUGCUAGUGCUUGUUGGGUGCUUGUACUUGGUGCUUGUUGGUGAGUGCUGGUGCUUGGUGGGUGCUGGUGCUUUUUGGGUGCUUGUAGUUGGUGCUUGUUGGUGUGUGCUGGUGCUUGGUGGGUGCUAAUGCUUGGUGGGUGCUUGUACUUGGUGCUUGUUGAUGUGUGCUGGUGCUUGGUGGGUGCUAGUGCUUGUUGGGUGCUUGUACUUGGUGCUUGUUGGUGCGUGCUGGUGCUUGGUGGGUGCUAGUGCUUGUUGGGUGCUUGUACUUGGUGCUUGUUGGUGAGUGCUGGUGCUUGGUGGGUGCUGGUGCUUUUUGGGUGCUUGUAGUUGGUGCUUGUUGGUGUGUGCUGGUGCUUGGUGGGUGCUAAUGCUUGGUGGGUGCUUGUACUUGGUGCUCGUUGGUGCGUGCUGGUGCUUGAUGGUGCUUGGUGUGUGCUGGUGUUUGUUGGUGCCUGGUAGUGUGUGUGCUGGUGCUUGGUGCGUGCUGGUGCUUGGUAGUGCUUGUUGGUGCUUAUUGGCAAAGAUUUUUCAGGACCACCUUCGUUGGUGAUCACCAGCUCCCUGCUUUGAUGGUUGGUUCACAUUGGCAUGGAAGACAAGAACUUCUUUUGGCAUUAGGGGUUUUGCCCUGACUCUUCCUUUCCCUACAGCCACCCCCACCCCAAAGCCAAACCCAAUGCGUAAAGUUGGCUAGGGGUGGCAGGCAAGUGCUGGAACCCCAGUUGGAAGGGGGACCCCCCUCAACUGUGCAAUUUCCCCCACCAGCUUGCUGUUAAUGGAAACAAAUUCUGGGGAGCCGCCAACACAAUACGCUGUAACAAUGGCCACACCAAGAAAGCAAAGCAGACAGAGCAAGCCCCGCCCACGCCUGUCCAGUGUCCUCCCAAUAAACCCCAAAUGAACCUCAGUCUCCUUGCCGUGACCUUUCAGGCCCAGGAAGGCCCCUCUAAGCUCUGUAUCCUCAGCUACAACAUCAUCUCCCUGUCUCUGGCUCAUGCUGUGGCGGCUGUGCUGGUUUUCUCUGCCCCUCACAUGCACACUCCUCGAUGCCCCUCGGAGAGUUUGCAGUUGCUCUUCCUGGGUCCCGGGGCGCCUUUCCCCAUGACCCUCACGUGGCCAGUUCUUUUUGUUGUUCAGGUCUCAAUACUAAGGUCACCUCCUCAGAAAGCCUCUUCCUUAACCCUUAGUGUGAGAUGGCCCCAUCGUAGAGGUACUUGCUGCCGCGUCACUUCUUAUUUUUGCACAGUAUUUUUUCUAUAGUAGUCAGGUUUACUUACUCACUUCUUCAUUUUUCAUUUCCCACCAGUGGGAUGUAAUGGCUUGUUCAUUGCCGAAGCCCCAGCACCCAGCCAGUGACAUUCUAAGGACCUCGUUCACACAUUCACUCACUGGUCACUUAGACAGUUAUUCUCCCUGCCACCUUGAGUUUGUUGUUCCAUAGAAAAAGUCCUGACACCUACAGCACCACAUCAAUGUGAAGAGGAGAAUAUACACAAGGGCAGGUACCACCAUAGCUACCGUGCACCUGCUACUGGGUGGGCCCUCUAUAAAUGCUGGUUUCCUUCCUGACUCUCAGCUCCUUACGAAGCAGUUCUGGCCUACGCUGUACCAAUUUCCCUUUGUCAAACCUUUUAGUUAAGCUGUAUCAAACAUUUUGCGAUAUCUAGGGACACCAUUGUUACCCUACGCCAUAGAUGAGGAAAUGAAAACUCAGAGAGAUGAAAUUACACAGAAUCACACAUCCGGGGAUAACAUGGGCUAUUCUUGAAUCCGGUCUUCAGGCUUCAAAAUUUUGAACCCAUGUUGCUUACACUCCUUCACAAUAUAACGUGGUUAUUUAAAGACACACAAAGAUAAGAAUGAGAGAUGAUGAUGGGAGAUAAUCACCAGCUUUCCAGAUGGUGAGAGAACGAGAGGGGAAGUGUGGUCCUCCUUCAUACACAGUCGUAGAGCUUGCUCUACCUAAAACAAGUCUUCCUUUCUCCGCUGUUGUGGCUCCUGGAGUCUGAUUAGGAGAAUGAACAAAAGUCUAGAGCCCUUGCUGGUCUGGACCCGGGGAGAUGAUCUUCGACACACCCUUAGGAACCCACAUUUCUAAAAGAGCUUCCAGAACAAUCUCUGCAUCUCCAGACCUCAGCACCAGGAAUGAGCUCAGGCAGGUCCAGUUUCCCUGCCCACCAGGAAAUCAGGCUGCUGCCAGCUGUUCUCAGGCUAGAAAUGACCCACUUCCUGGUUGUCAUUGUUGGCUGAACAAAGCUGUGUUGCCUUGGUGUCCAGGCACCAUUGCUUCCACACAGGUUAUCUCUAAUCUUUCUCCAAGAGUGGAAGAUUUGCAUCAUCUCCAAGACCAGAAAGCUUCUUCUUUGCCCAGCCACGGGAAUGGACAAGACCCCCAACUCUGGCCUCAGCCAUCAUGCACACCUGGACGUAACCUCUCCUGCUGACGUUACCAAAACACCAGAGUUUUGGUCUAAGUCCCAUUGCUCGCAGCACAGAAAGCUAGUCACUGAGACAAAUAUUGCUGGUUAAGAAGGCUUUAAUUCAGUGCUGCAGCUGAGGAAAUGGAAAAUCAGUCUCAAAUCCAUCUCCUCGACUGACUUAAAUUCGAAAUUUAUACAGCAGGGAAGAAAUGUAACCACGGGUGGGAAAACAGGAAUUAGGGAGGGUACAGAAGAGGAAUUGGUCCACAGAACACAGGUGGCUAGUUAAGCAGUCGUGACAGGCAGGGGUCUGGCAUCUCAUUGUCCAGAUGCAGUGAUCUGAUGAGUUUCAGGUCCUUGAUAUAAUCUGGGAGGCCUGAUUAUUGGUUUUCUGAGAAAGAAACUCUGGUAAGACAAAUGUAACUUUCUCAAGUUAUAAGACUAGGAGUGUCAAUUUAUAUGUUUAUUCAAAAGAAACCAUAAACAUUAGUUACAUGGGACAAGUGGGCCAGUGUCGGUGUGAGCAAUUCCUGGCAAGCCAGAAGUGAAAGGGGAACACAGGUGCAGGUAAGGUAAUUAAAUGAUGUGUACCAGGGACUCCGUUUUCCUGCUCCGACUCAAACACCAACUCUGUGCAUAGCAAGCUCUAUGGCAGUAACAUCAACUCAGUGAUGCUGAUGACAUGUGGAACAGUAGCCUUCACUGUGCACUACAGCUGUGCCAGAUGUGGUGCACUACAGCUGUGCCAGAUGUGGUGCACACGUGCCCCUAUGCACACUCACCCAGAUAAAAUCGAGGUGAAGAGAGAUUAAAUGACUUGCCCAGAGUUGAAAGAACUUUUAAAACUUUUACUAGUUUCUAUUUUUUUAGCAAAGUUGCAAAUACUUGCAGUUUACAGAGCCUAACAAUUCAAGUUUUGCUAUAAAACGUCAUAGCCCCAACGUAUCUGCUCCCUUCGCAGAUCCUAACUGAUUAUUUUAGAAUGUGCCUUCUAUUGCUACAUCUUGAUUUUCAUCUCACCCCUCUGCAUGCACAUGCUACUUUCCCAUAACCCUGGCUCUCCCAACUUAAUUAUUUCAAAAUUUGUAGUUAGAGAUAAAUCAUCAGUGUUUAAACUAUUAUGACUAUGUAAAUACUCCUCAGAGGUUAUUAUGAUUUAAUUUUUAUAGAUAUUAAUAUUCCAAAGUUAAUAAUUGCUUUCUUUUGAUUUGCUUAGAUUUCUGUAAAUUUAUCAUUCAUUCAAUCACAAACGCUAUCAAUUGUCUACAUUGCUUCUUAAUGCAUGAGGCUUUCUAUUGAUUUUAAUUUCCUAAGGAAGUCUCCCCAGAAGCCUUCAGAGGGGUUCUAAAUUGUCCUGAUUACUCUCUAUUUCUAUGUCACCCACAGAGAAAAUGAAAAGAAUGGCAUGCCCAGAAGUUGAGCAGUGUACAUCGUGCACAGCCAAAUGCAACAGGUCUUUUCCAGAGGCUGCUGUCACUCAGUAACCUCCUGUGUUGGAUCGUCUCAUUCCUAUGCCUCUUGUCUUCCUAUUUUUGGAUUUACUCUAAUUUUGAUGGAACACAUCCUUGAAUAGCUUUUGGAGACCUUGCUUAUAAGCAAAUGUCUUUUAUCUACUCUCAGUUGGUUCAUCUGAGAGUAGAGUUCUAGUUGGAGAUCAUUUUUAUUCACUAGUUUGUAAGCAUGUUUCACUGGCUUCUAGUUGGCAUUGAGAACUUCAAAGCCUUCCUAAUUAUAGGUUCUUUAUAAAUCUCUCUCUAGAUAUAGAUAUAGAUGACGUAGGUGUAGAUAUUAGUAGAUCUUUAGAUGUAGAUAGAUAUGCCUCUUCCUUUUGACCCCAGUGAUGACAUACCUUGUCAUGGGCCUAUUUUCACCCAUUAUGCUAGAAAUCUGGGGGGCCCUUCCAAUCUGAAAACUUACGUUCUAAAAAACUUGGAAAGUUUUCUAAUUUUUCCCAUUGAUUAUUUCAUCCCUUAUGUUUUCUUUAAUCCUAUUUCUGUCACUUCUAUUAAUCAAAUGUUGGGUCUCUUAGACUCAUUCUCUAAUUUAUUUUUCUCUCCUAGUUUCAAUCUCUUUUUCUCUUGGCUCUAUUUCUUGUAAGAAUUCCUCAACUUUAUCUGGAAACUUAUUUUGAGGUUUUCUUUGCUGCUAUAUUAUCUUCAUUUCCAACAGUUGAUUUGUAUUCUCUGAAUGUUUUUCAUAACAUCUUGUUCUCUUCUGAUUAUUGUGGUUUAUUUUCUUAUCUCCCUAAAGCAGGGGUCCCUAACCUCUGGGCUGCAAACCGGUACCAGUCCGUGGCCUGUUAUGAACUGGGCCACACAGCAGAAGGGACCUUAAAAGGAGGCAAGAUCAACAGAGACAGAAAGCCACGUGACAACAGAAGCAGAAAUUGGAGUAAAGGGGCCAUAAGCCAAGAAAUCUAAGCACCUCAAGAAGCUGGAUAAGCUGGACAGACUCCAGGUCUCCUGACUGGAAGGUGAAGACUGACUGCAGCGUCCCGGGAGCCAAGUCAGGAAAAUGGGCUGAGACCCGUCAGCAUCCAGCUGCCCCUCAUCAUGCUGCUGCAGUGCACAGCCCAGGUGUCCAGAGACCGUGUCUUACCCUCUCCAGCCAGUCUUUGCCAAGAGGGGUGGGCAGUGGCCUGGCUGACACAGCAAGUGAAGAUAGAGAGAUCUGAGUGCUUAUUAAACCAAAACUCCUUAUUUCGGUCUUUCUGCCUUACCCUCCAUUUCAGAGGUAGCUGCUGUCUCUCGUUCCUGAGGUUUGUGGAAUUUGCAGCACACAUCUGCUAUUUUGUGAUUUUUCCCACCAUGGCCUUCUGAGCUUUCAGUUACCGCUCAUCCAUCUGUAUUCUGACUCCCAAACUGUGUUGUCAUUUCUUCUCCCAUUUUUUCCAUUGUAGUGGGUUUUGCCUUUUUCAAAACAAUCCAUUCCUUGUUAUUAUUCCAGUGGGGAUACAAGAGGAGAAAAAUGCAGACAUACUUGUUCGAUCAGCAAACUUAACCUAUAAAAAGCUUUUAAUCACUUAUUCAUCUUAUAUCUCACUUUUUAAAAUUUAGAGACAGGGUCUCACUCUGUCACCUGGGUGAGUACAAUGGUGUGAUCACAGCCCAUUGCAACCUCAAAUCCCAAAAACAGGAGUUCCUCCCACCUCGGCUUCCUAAGUAGCUGAACUACAUGUGCAUGCCACAACACCCAGCUAAGUUUUUAAUUUUUUGUAGAGAUGGGGUCUUGCUUUGUUGCCAAGGCUAGUCUUGAACUCAUGGCCUCCAGCAAUUAUCCCACCUUGGCUUCUCAAAGUGUUGGGAUUACAGGUGUGAGCCACGACACCCAGCCUUAUGUCUCAUUUCUAUCUUAAUAACAUCUAUGUCUGAUGGGCGAAGACCAUAUUCUCAUUCCCACUUCAUGAAAAGUGAGGCUCAAAGAAGUCAUAUGCUUUAUCCAAGGAUACAAAGUCUGGGGCUCUGAGUCCUGGUCUGUGAUUCCAUGGACCAAGAGGUGCUAACAGUCACAUUCUGUCACUGUCACAGAAACCCGCAGAACAGACAAAGGGGUCAGAACAUAGAGACCAAGGCAGUGGAAACCGUUGAGGAUGCUAAAUUGUCUCGGGAGAUUCAUUGAGGCCAAAUUUCAGAAAGAAACAAAGCAAGAA